rnacentral:rRNA from 1 species
GACGAACGCUGGCGGCGUGCCUAAUACAUGCAAGUUGAGCGCUGAAGGUUGGUACUUGUACCAACUGGAUGAGCAGCGCACGGGUGAGUAACGCGUGGGGAAUCUGCCUUUGAGCGGGGGACAACAUUUGGAAACGAAUGCUAAUACCGCAUAAAAACUUUAAACACAAGUUUUAAGUUUGAAAGAUGCAAUUGCAUCACUCAAAGAUGAUCCCGCGUUGUAUUAGCUAGUUGGUGAGGUAGAGGCUCACCAAGGCGAUGAUACAUAGCCGACCUGAGAGGGUGAUCGGCCACAUUGGGACUGAGACACGGCCCAAACUCCUACGGGAGGCAGCAGUAGGGAAUCUUCGGCAAUGGACGAAAGUCUGACCGAGCAACGCCGCGUGAGUGAAGAAGGUUUUCGGAUCGUAAAACUCUGUUGGUAGAGAAGAACGUUGGUGAGAGUGGAAAGCUCAUCAAGUGACGGUAACUACCCAGAAAGGGACGGCUAACUACGUG